GAUGAACGCUGGCGGCGUGCCUAAUACAUGCAAGUCGAGCGAACAGACGAGGAGCUUGCUCCUCUGACGUUAGCGGCGGACGGGUGAGUAACACGUGGAUAACCUACCUAUAAGACUGGGAUAACUUCGGGAAACCGGAGCUAAUACCGGAUAAUAUAUUGAACCGCAUGGUUCAAUAGUGAAAGACGGUUUUGCUGUCACUUAUAGAUGGAUCCGCGCCGCAUUAGCUAGUUGGUAAGGUAACGGCUUACCAAGGCAACGAUGCGUAGCCGACCUGAGAGGGUGAUCGGCCACACUGGAACUGAGACACGGUCCAGACUCCUACGGGAGGCAGCAGUAGGGAAUCUUCCGCAAUGGGCGAAAGCUUGACGGAGCAACGCCGCGUGAGUGAUGAAGGUCUUCGGAUCGUAAAACUCUGUUAUUAGGGAAGAACAAAUGUGUAAGUAACUAUGCACGUCUUGACGGUACCUAAUCAGAAAGCCUCGGCUAACUACGU
rnacentral:rRNA from 1 species